GAAUUGACGGGGGCCCGCACAAGCAGUGGAGCAUGUGGUUUAAUUCGAAGCAACGCGAAGAACCUUACCAGGGCUUGACAUCCCUCUGACCGGUGUAGAGAUACACCUUCCCUUCGGGGCAGGGGAGACAGGUGGUGCAUGGUUGUCGUCAGCUCGUGUCGUGAGAUGUUGGGUUAAGUCCCGCAACGAGCGCAACCCUUGUCGUUAGUUGCCAGCACUUUGGGUGGGCACUCUAACGAGACUGCCGGUGACAAAUCGGAGGAAGGUGGGGAUGACGUCAAAUCAUCAUGCCCCUUAUGUCCUGGGCUACACACGUGCUACAAUGGCGACUACAGAGGGAAGCAAAGCCGCGAGGUGGAGCAAAUCCCCAAAAGUCGUCCCAGUUCGGAUUGCAGGCUGCAACUCGCCUGCAUGAAGUCGGAAUUGCUAGUAAUGGCAGGUCAGCACACUGCGGUGAAUACGUUCCCGGGCCUUGUACACACCG
rnacentral:rRNA from 1 species